rnacentral:rRNA from 1 species
GUGGGGAAUAUUGGGCAAUGGGCGCAAGCCUGACCCAGCAACGCCGCGUGAAGGAAGAAGGCUUUCGGGUUGUAAACUUCUUUUACCAGGGACGAAACAAAUGACGGUCCCUGGUGAAUAAGCCACGGCUAACUACGUGCCAGCAGCCGCGGUAAUACGUAGGUGGCGAGCGUUAUCCGGAUUUAUUGGGUGUAAAGGGCGUGUAGGCGGGAGAGCUAGUCAGAUGUGAAAACCAGAGGCUCAACCUCUGGCCUGCAUUGGAAACUGUUGUUCUUGGGUGGCGGAGAGGUAAUCGGAAUUCCGGGUGUGGCGGUGAAAUGCGUAGAUAUACGGAGGAACACCAGUGGCGAAGGCGGAUUACUGGACGAUAACUGACGCUGAGGCGCGAAAGCGUGGGGAGCAAACAGGAUUAGAAACCCUAGUAGUCC